rnacentral:rRNA from 1 species
AACGUAGGAGACAAACGUUAUCCGGAGUUACUGGGCGUAAAGGGCGUGUAGGUGGUUUCGUAAGUCUGGCGUGAAAUUUCUCGGCUUAACCGAGGCAGGUCGUCGGAUACUGCGGAACUUGAGGACGGUAGAGGCGUGUGGAAUUCCGGGUGUAGUGGUGAAAUGCGUAGAUAUCAGGAGGAACACCGGUGGCGAAGGCGGGUCUCUGGGUAGUAACUGACACUGAGGAACGAAAGCGUGGGUAGCGAACAGG